CAUUACANUAUGUUCAGAGGUGUGGCUGCUGCUGGCUCGCCCCCGAGCAUGUGCGCGCCCCCUCGCCUUCAUCCAUUACAACACCUGUGCACCACGAGCGAAGCCCCCGUCUGGAGCCGCCUCGCAUUUCGAUGCGCGGUCGGGGCAUCGCUCGCUUUCAUACACACACUACAGCCUGUCUUUAACGCAUGUCUAAUGUCCUACGGGAUGAUAUCAAAUACAACUUUCAACAACGGAUCUCUUGGCUUUCGCAUCGAUGAAGAACGCCGCGAAAGUGCGAAACGUAAUGUGAAUUGCAGAAUUCAGUGAAUCAUCGAAUCUUUGAACGCAUCUUGCGCUCCUUGGUAUUCCGAGGAGCAUGCCUGUUUGAGUGUCGUGAACUCCCUCAACCCUUACCCCUUAGGGGGGCAGGGUUGGAUUUGGACGCUGCUGCGAGUCUCGACUCGACGGCUCGUCUUGAAAUGCAUCAGCUGGUCCGCCGCAAAGGUAUCGACAAACGGUGUGAUAAGAAACGCUUCGUGACUGUGGCGCCGUUCGACUUACCUCUAGGAGGGCUGCUUCCAACCGUCUUCGGACAAUAACACAUUCAUGUCAUCUGACCUCAAAUCAGGUAGGACUACCCGCUGAACUUAAGCAUAUCAAUAA
rnacentral:rRNA from 1 species